CACACUGAACAUGAUUUUCUCUUCCUGUAUGCUAGUCUAGCCCCACUGACUUCAGAAGAAUGGCUCUUGAUCUGUUCUGGUAUUGCCAAACGAUAAUGCAAGGGCCCUGUCUGUUUACGUGCAUUCUGUCUUGCCAGGGACAGCUAUUUGUGGCCUUCCUCAUUGUACUCUGCUUGCUAGAUAUGGGGGAAGCUGAAGAAGAGGCUGAAAAGCAGUGCCUUUUGGUAAAAGGAUGCUGUCAGCAUGGUCAAUAACUGUAGUGAAAACCCAAACUCAUGUGGACUGCUAGCAACAAACACAAACUUUUCUCUUUUCAGAUAAAUACCCCUGGGGUUAAAAGGCCUCCUUGACUUACAAUAU